rnacentral:rRNA from 1 species
UGGGGAAUAUUGCACAAUGGGCGAAAGCCUGAUGCAGCAACGCCGCGUGAGUGAUGAAGGCCUUCGGGUUGUAAAGCUCUGUCUUCUGGGACGAUAAUGACGGUACCAGAGGAGGAAGCCACGGCUAACUACGUGCCAGCAGCCGCGGUAAUACGUAGGUGGCAAGCGUUGUCCGGAUUUACUGGGCGUAAAGGAUGCGUAGGCGGAUACUUAAGUCAGAUGUGAAAAUCCCGGGCUUAACUUGGGAACUGCAUUUGAAACUGGGUAUCUAGAGUGCGGGAGAGGAAAGUGGAAUUCCUAGUGUAGCGGUGAAAUGCGUAGAGAUUAGGAAGAACACAAGUAGCGAAGGCGACUUUCUGGACCGUAACUGACGCUGAGGCAUGAAAGCGUGGGGAGCAAAC